GAAACCCUGCUGUGCGCGUGACGAAGCUGAUGUUUAGAACCAACACAUUUACCUAGGGAGCUGAACUCUGGACGUGGCGUGUAAGCCUUUGUGCAAGAAGGACACAUAAAGCGUCUGGGUAGGCACCCACCUGUGAGAGCGGGUUCAGGUAACCUUCAGCCGUAAACGACAUGGCGGGGUUUCU
rnacentral:other from 1 species